CCACACCCUGCACCCCUCUUGCACCCCAAACCCCUGCCCUGAGCCUCCGGCCAAACCCCUCACCCCUCCUGCACCCCAACUCCCUGCUGUCCGGGGGGGGAGGGGGAGCAGAUAAUUCCCUGCGCUGCUCUUGUCUGGCCCUGGUGCGCGCCCCUGCCACCCCGGAGCCGUUCCAGGCUGCACCCGGAGAGACAAUCCGCAGCCCCCCGGGUCUGAGGAGUGACCAGCCAGUCCCCUGAGAACUUUCCCCUCCAGCACCAGCGACAACGAGGCUUUGGUUAUAUCUUGCUCUCAUUGCAGCAGCUCUGGGAGGUGCCCGGUCCCAGGGGUUGGUGGAGUCCGGAGGGGAUGUGAAAAAGUCCGGAGACUCUCUCCGCCUCUCCUGCAAAGCCUCCGGCUUCACCUUCAUCAGUUAUCUCAUGGAUUGGAUCCGUCUGGCCCCCGGGAGGGGGCGGGAGUUGCUGGCCAGAGGUGCUGCCCAGGGCAGCGCCUACUAUGCUGAUUCCGUGAAAGGGCGAUUCGCCCUCUCCAGAGACAACGCCAACAGCCUGGUGCAUUUGCAAAUGAGCAGCCUGAGAGUGGAGGACACCGGCCUGUAUCCCUGUGUCAAAGACACACAGCCAGGGACCUAGGACAAAACCGAGCCCUGUAGCCACGGUCUGGAGUUGGCUGGUUGGGGCGCUGGAGGU